rnacentral:tRNA from 1 species
UCAUUACAAAUCUGAUGCUUUAACCUUUGAGCUAAGCGGGC